UUCCUACGGGACGCAGCAGUGGGGAAUAUUGCACAAUGGGGGAAACCCUGAUGCAGCGACGCCGCGUGAGUGAAGAAGUAUUUCGGUAUGUAAAGCUCUAUCCGCAGGGAAGAAAAUGACGGUACCUGAUUAAGAAGCCCCGGCUAACUACGUGCCAGCAGCCGCGGUAAUACGUAGGGGGCAAGCGUUAUCCGGAUUUACUGGGUGUAAAGGGAGCGUAGACGGCAAUACAAGUCGGAAGUGAAAUACCCGGGCUUAACCUGGGAACUGCUUUGGAAACUGUAUGGCUGGAGGGCUGGAGAGGU
rnacentral:rRNA from 1 species